rnacentral:rRNA from 1 species
UACGGAGGAUGCAAGCGUUAUCCGGAAUGAUUGGGCGUAAAGCGUCCGCAGGUGGCAAUGUAAGUCUGCUGUCAAAGCGUCUGGCUCAACCAGAUAAAGGCAGUGGAAACUACAUAGCUAGAGUAAGGUAGGGGUAGAGGGAAUUCCUGGUGUAGCGGUGAAAUGCGUAGAGAUCAGGAAGAACACCGGUGGCGAAGGCGGCAUCCUGGACCAACACUGACGCUGAGUGAGCGAAAUCCAGGGGAGCAAACGGG